rnacentral:tRNA from 2 species
GGCGGUGUAGCUCAGUCGGUUAGAGCGACGGCUUCAUAAGCCGUAGGUCGGUGGUUCAAGUCCACUCACCGCUACCA